rnacentral:rRNA from 1 species
AACGAACGCUGGCGGCGUGCCUAAUACAUGCAAGUCGAGCGAGAAAGUCUCUUCGGAGACGAGUAAAGCGGCGCACGGGUGAGUAACACGUGGGCAAUCUGCCCUUGAGUCUGGGAUAACCCGGGGAAACUCGGGCUAAUACCGGAUACGGCUGCGGGGUCUUCGGAUCCUGUGGAGAAAGAUGGCCUCUUCUUGAAAGCUAUCUCUCGAGGAUGAGCCCGCGUCCUAUAGCUAGUUGGUGGGGUAACGGCUCACCAAGGCAAAGAUGGGUAGCUGGUCUGAGAGGAUGACCAGCCACACUGGAACUGAGAUACGGUCCAGACUCCUACGGGAGGCAGCAGUGGGAAUAUUGGGCAAUGGAGGCAACUCUGACCCAGCCAUGCCGCGUGGGUGACGAAGGUCUUCGGAUUGUAAAGCCC